GACGAACGCUGGCGGCGUGCCUAACACAUGCAAGUCGACUUGACUGAAGGAGCAAUCUGACAGUAGAGUGGCGCAAGGGUGCGUAACGCGUAAGUAACUUGCCCAAGGUAAGGAAUAACGUCGAGAAAUCGGCGCUAAUACCUCAUAAUGCAGCGGAUCCGCAUGGAUAUGUUGUUAAAGGUUUACCGCCUUGGGAUAGGCUUGCGUCUGAUUAGUUAGUUGGUGUGGUAACGGCACACCAAGGCUACGAUCAGUAACUGGUCUGAGAGGAUGAUCAGUCACACUGGAACUGAGACACGGUCCAGACUCCUACGGGAGGCAGCAGUGAGGAAUAUUGGGCAAUGCUCGAAAGAGUGACCCAGCAACGCCGCGUGGAGGAUGAAGGUAUUCUAUAGCGUAAACUCCUGUGAGAGCAGACGAAAGACAGAUUAUUAAUCUGGAUGACUGUAUGCUCAGAGGAAGACCCCGGCUAACUACGUG
rnacentral:rRNA from 1 species